rnacentral:rRNA from 1 species
AUUGAACGCUGGCGGCAUGCCUUACACAUGCAAGUCGAACGGCAGCACGGGAGCAAUCCUGGUGACGAGUGGCGAACGGGUGAGUAAUAUAUCGGAACGUGCCCAGUCGUGGGGGAUAACGUAGCGAAAGCUACGCUAAUACCGCAUACGAUCUACGGAUGAAAGCGGGGGAUCGCAAGACCUCGCGCGAUUGGAGCGGCCGAUAUCAGAUUAGGUAGUUGGUGAGGUAAAGGCUCACCAAGCCGACGAUCUGUAGCUGGUCUGAGAGGACGACCAGCCACACUGGGACUGAGACACGGCCCAGACUCCUACGGGAGGCAGCAGUGGGGAAUUUUGGACAAUGGGCGCAAGCCUGAUCCAGCAAUGCCGCGUGCAGGAUGAAGGCUUUCGGGUUGUAAACUGCUUUUGUACGGAACGAAACGGUAAGCUCUAAUACAGUUUGCUAAUGACGGUACCGUAAGAAUAAGCA